UACAGAGGGUGCAAGCGUUGUUCGGGAUUAUUGGGCGUAAAGGGCGCGUAGGCGGCCUUCUAAGUCGAACGUGAAAUCCCUGGGCUCAACCCAGGAACUGCGUCCGAUACUGGAAGGCUUGAAUCCGGGAGAGGGAUGCGGAAUUCCAGGUGUAGCGGUGAAAUGCGUAGAUAUCUGGAGGAACACCGGUGGCGAAGGCGGCAUCCUGGACCGGCAUUGACGCUGAGGCGCGAAAGCCAGGGGAGCAAACGGG
rnacentral:rRNA from 1 species